rnacentral:rRNA from 1 species
UAACUACUGGAAACGGUAGCUAAUACCGCAUAAUGUCGCAAGACCAAAGAGGGGGACCUUCGGGCCUCUUGCCAUCGGAUGUGCCCAGAUGGGAUUAGCUUGUUGGUGGGGUAACGGCUCACCAAGGCGACGAUCCCUAGCUGGUCUGAGAGGAUGACCAGCCACACUGGAACUGAGACACGGUCCAGACUCCUACGGGAGGCAGCAUG